rnacentral:rRNA from 1 species
AGUGAACGCUGGCGGUAGGCCUAACACAUGCAAGUCGAACGGCAGCACAGUAAGAGCUUGCUCUUACGGGUGGCGAGUGGCGGACGGGUGAGGAAUACAUCGGAAUCUACUUUUUCGUGGGGGAUAACGUAGGGAAACUUACGCUAAUACCGCAUACGACCUACGGGUGAAAGCAGGGGAUCUUCGGACCUUGCGCGAUUGAAUGAGCCGAUGUCGGAUUAGCUAGUUGGCGGGGUAAAGGCCCACCAAGGCGACGAUCCGUAGCUGGUCUGAGAGGAUGAUCAGCCACACUGGAACUGAGACACGGUCCAGACUCCUACGGGAGGCAGCAGUGGGGAAUAUUGGACAAUGGGCGCAAGCCUGAUCCAGCCAUACCGCGUGGGUGAAGAAGGCCUUCGGGUUGUAAAGCCCUUUUGUUGGGAAAGAAAAGCGGCAGGUUAAUACCCCGCUGUUCUGACGGUACCAAAAGAAUAAGCACCGGCUAACUUCGUG